UUGGAGCGAUGGUUCAAUGAAGACGAGGAAAAGAAGAAGGCAGAGAGAGAGAAGAAAGAAAGGGAGAACCCCCAACUGCGCAGCGAAAGCAAGCCCAACUCAAAAGCAAAGAAUGUGGCUUCUAGUCUGAAUGAUGAUUCUUGUUUUUGGGCGCACGUCGAGGAAGCGCUUAUCUUGUGCAACAAACAAGCGAGUAAUCCAAAUAUCGAAUUUGAGCAGUACGUGCUGAAUAAUCUCGAGAAGUUUGCAGUAACGCCUGACAUUUUCUUGGCCCAAAGCAGCUACAUGCAAUGGUGGAACGAGUACAAAAAAAGGGUGGGAAAUGACUAUUCCUCACCACUCGCCAAGGUCAUGAAGCGUCACACUUAUACCAAGUAUGCGGAGGGGGUCUCGGUUCUUGCUGAUAUCUAAUGCAGGAUAAUUAAGUUUUAAGCAAGCAAUUAAAUUAAAUAAAGCAAGAUUAGUUAUGUUGUAUUCAGUGGCGGAGCCACGAUUUUAGGUGAGGAGGGGCCUCACAUAAAUGUGAAAAAAAUUAAAUAAUGCAUGCUUGGAGUUGUGAGCUAAUUAUUUUUGAGGCUCUAAAUGUUUUUUCUAUGUCGAAGUUAACCUUCCAUUCUCAAUUCAAUGAAAAUACUGGGGAUACUAUGUUUUUAGACCAUAUUUUAGAAACCACAUAAUGUGACCUCGUUGAUAAUUGGAUUCCUUUUUUGGUGAUUUAAAGAAGUAGUCCAACCAUUAAGUACGAUACAAUCAUGCGGUCACAAAAUAUGGCUCAAGUAGAAGCUAUCUAUAGCAUCACUCCAAGUCAAUAUAGAAUAGAUUGGGAAUUUCCUAACAAAAAAUGAGAAUUAUGGAUUGGGAAUUUGGUGAACAAAAUAUGAAAUUUUAAAAAUUUAGUAAAAAGUUAAAGAGAACAAAGAUAAAAUAUAUAAAUUUCAAGAAGCGGAGAAGAAGAAACUCAAAGUUUAUUAUUCUUCAGUUGGCAAUGUAAAAGAAUAUUUUUUUGAUAAAACUAAACUAGACUUUAGAUUUUAAUUUUAAGAGCUAUUGAUUUGUUUAUAAAAUAAGAUUGUAAAUUUAUUUUUAGGACGAGUUUUGUUGGGAUUGAAAAGAAAAAGAGACUUCUUAUUUUAACUAUUAGUGAAUAGCAAUUAAGAGUUUUGUGUAAACUAAAAGAAGUAUAAUAUUAAGUUUAUCCAAAUAUAAUACAUAAUUAUAUAGAAAAGUUAGUUGGGGGGUAGGCCUUGGCCUAUGGUGUGGCCUUAGAGUGCCUCCGCCCCUGGCUGUAUUGCUCCUGAUCUUCAUAAAGAAAGGUGUGCAGUACUUGCCGGACUUUUUGGCGCUACAACUUUUGAAUAUUUUUGUUUGUGGUUUCGUUUUGUUUUGGGCUCUAGCAUCUAGAUCUCUUUGUUCAAAGUAUAAGAAUGUGUGGGGGUAUUGUUUCAAUUAUGAUGUUGUAAUUUCCACUUCAUAAAGCAAUGACACUCGUUGCAUUUCGAUUUCACUAAGUAUGAGGCUUAUCCUAAUUUCAGUCUUUCAGCACAUUGCUACUAGUGAAGUUUAAAUAUUUGGUAACUGCUUAUGAUUCUUUCUUUUAUCAAUUUUUAUGUGUUAAUGUAGAUGCUUCUAAUGAGUUGAUAUUCUACUGUUUAUUUUACCUUAUUCUUAGCUAUAAUUUAUUGAUUAUUUUGGUUGAAUUUUGAUACUUUGUUCUAUAUUUCAAUUACAGGACAUGUGAAUCUACUUUGGGCAUAAAGUGAUCAAACGAAGGAAUUUUGGAGUAAUUUCAAUUGGAAUAGAUUCGUGAGUCUUUCAAGAUGAUUGUGUCAAAAUUCUAGAAUUUAAUUCCAAGCCGUUUGACCGUGGCAAAGAAAAGAAGACUCAGCGUGCAACUUUCCCAAUUGUUUUAUGGUUAUUCGUAACUAAUUUCCGUUUACUAGAACAAGAUUACUAGCCUUAGCAUGAAUAUGUUGUAAUGACCCGUCUCAGAUUGUAUGAAACACAGAUCGUCGAGAACAAUUUUGUAAUUUCACGUUUGGAAGAUAUUUGUAUUCUUGAGUUUAGUGGACCUUAUUUUGUGAGUCACGAGGCCCACAUGUUUCCCUUGUCUCCCGGCUGCCUCUCUUCCCUCUCCCCGUCACUCUCUUUCCCUCCCUUCACUCUCUCUAAAACUCUCUUCUCUCAUCUGUCUCUCUAACCUUCCUUCUCCGGGAAAGCACACAAACACAACAACAACAGCAGCAGCUGCACAACACCAUCCCUCACCCUCUAUGCGAACCUCACGAACCCAAAAACGGUGAGCGGACUUUUCCCCAGUUUUCCGGCGAGACGCAUUUUUUGGCCAUAUCCGGCCAGCUUUUGGCUUCUAAAUAGGUAAAAUCGUAUUUCUCUCCUCUUAAGCUUCGUUUUGACAUAUUAUGGGUCCGAUUUGACUAAGAAAUGAGGAAGUUAUAACCUUUUAAAGUUUACCUAGUUUCCGGCGACCCCCACGGCUUUCAAGUCAUUUUCCGGCUAAACCACGGCUAUUUAGCCGUGGAGAAAGGUACCAUUCUCUUCAUUUCGUCAAUAAGUAUGAUUUUCAUCUAUGAAUCACUUGAUUUCGUCGAGUAUUGAAGAAGUUAUGGACGUUUAAAGUUUACUCAGUUUCCGGCGUGUUCCCCCGUUUUUCUGCGGACCAGUCAGUUUUCAGGCUAUUUUCCGGCCAUCUCCGGCAACCUUUGAACUUCCAAAUAGGUAUAUUCUUGUUCUACACUUUCCUAGUUUCGUUUUGAUAUAUUAUGAGUUCGUCGCGAAACAUUUAAGAUGACGGAAUUAGGUCGGGCAACAGAGCCUGACCCGAUGAACAUGACGACGAAAGUCCGUCAGGUAAGGCUGCGUUGACCAUAUUGUAUUGCUACUAGGUGAAUUCGGACAAAAAAACAGAAAGCUCAACGGCCAUUCCCUAGCUCAGAUUAACUCGUUAGAUUUCUUUGUAAAUUUCUUUGUAUUCUUCCACGAAUGUUUAGUUGCUAAAAUCAAAUCAUGUAUUAAAUUACUCUGGAAUUUUCGUAACGUAAGAACAAGCUGGAAGCAACAUGGAAUAAAUAAUUAUUCUGAACUUUAACACGUAAACGUAGAUAAGAAGGCCAGAGGAAAAGCAUCGGGGCAAAGGUCCAACUCCCUCUCCUCCGGGAACCUUCCAGGAACAAGAUCCGUAGACGACGACGUAGACUUUCCUGUGCAUUGUCGACUUGGCGGGAAAUUCCCUCGUGGAACUUGGUGGAACAAUGACGUCCAUAACAAUAGUAAUGAUAGGACUUUCCUCUUCUAUAUAAAGAAAGACACUGAGCAUUCUGGUUUCCAAAUCUCUCAAUCUACUGUGUUUUUAAGCAGAUCGCCAGAAGCUUGAAGAUGAACAACCAGUAAGUUAACUUCAAACUCCUCCGAUCCUUGUUCUUCUUUGAAUCCUUUGUCAUUGAUUUUCCUUAUGGUUUGUUAGGCCUAAGUAUGAUUAUGCUCAAUAUAGUUUGGCAAAUUUCCACUUCAUCCAUGUGUGUCGAUUGUCGUGAUUAAGCAGACAUGUCUAGGACGGCUUCUGGAAUGGCUACAAGUAUUUUGCAUGAAACUUCUUAGGGUUAAUUUUGGGGAAAAAAUUUACCGAGUAGGAUUAUCUCCCCUCCUGUUCUCGUCCAUUCCUCUCACACAUUGCUUUUUGUUUUAUUGUCUUUAUAAAAAAAAAUUAAUAUAAGAUGUUAACGUGGUUUAACCGUGACCGUUGAAAUAGAAGGGAAGAGAAGGGAAGGAGAUGAGGAUCAGGAGGGGGGAGCCUCCAAAACCUACAAAGCGCGUCUAGAUAGUAGAAGCUUUUUUUAAGAAGAAUUAAAAAUUGGGUCCUUCGCUUUUUUUAAGGAUUGGGUCCUUCGCAUUUACCCAACACCAAAUUUUGUUCCCUCAACAAAAAAAAAAAUUGAGAAGAAUUAAAAAUUUUCUCACAAAGUUAAAAUAAAAUAAUGUUUUACCAAUAAAAUAAAAUAAAUAAAUACGAAUUAGCAUAUAAAGUACAUUACUUGAAUUGGAGCAUUUUAGUCAUCACAUCGAUUUUCAUUCUGAUUCAUGUGAGUUAGUAAACAGUUUAUAUUGUUCAGUACUAUUCUUACUCUUAUUUUUUAAAAUUUUAGUAAACAGUUUCAAUAUGAAUCUAAUUCUAACAUAUUCCAAACUCUUCAAUUCAAUUUUUUCUUCUUUUGAAUAUGGAAUAGUAAACGACCCAUUAAAUUUUUAUCCCAAAUAUAAUCAAAAGUAGUUUUGAUUGUUCCACUGACAUUUUUAACUAUUUCAACAGCUUUCCCUCUGUUUAACUUUGCUUCAAUUUUUUGUUGGUGGACAGAAUUAGCAGUGCGGGGCUUGAACUAGCAAAUGUGCUGGUGACUUCUCCUCCCCUGCACCAGUCAUGGGACGCGGUUCAAAAGCAAAAGCUCCAGACAGCUGCUGAUCCGAAUGCACAAAUGACCUUAUACAUUAGUGAAACCAAGCACUCAAACACCACCAUCAUAUCUUUUCUUACUGCACCAGUAGAGGUUCAAGAUCCACAAGCGAUGAUUUCAUCGACGACUCUCAAGGACACAAAUUUUCUUCUCUUUGAGUUUUUGUGCAGCCAAAAAACACCAAGUUACUUCGUCAAUGAAUUGGCAAUCAAAUUCUUCGCCUUGAGUCACACCAACCUCGAUCUUUUGCGAACAAAGGUGUGUAAUGUUAUCUCUGAUAAUAUUUAAAAAAAAAGUUUCUUCGCAUACGAGAAAUCCUUAUAUAAGAACUUGUUCAUUCAUUGCCUACUUAAAAAUAGACAUAGAGACGGAAGAAAGGACGAAUCAAAUAGUUUAUUUUUUUUUUCCCAAUUUUUGUCUAUUCUUCACCUACUGAAUCAAACUUUUUCAUUGCUUUGACGACUAUUAAUUUUAGUGAGAAAUGGUUAGAAAUGAUAUUUAUAAUGUUAGAUUACUUUAUACUUAAUUAGUUUGGCUUCUUUGACAACUCUUAAUAUUAAUAAGAAACACUUACAAACACCUCAUUGUUAGAGUUAUAAGAGCCGAAUGUCAUAAAAUUGAUUCUAUUUUGUUUUGUUGUUGUUCAAAAUGGAGUUGAAUGUUUUUUUUUUUUUACCACGAAUGUAUUUCGAGGAACUUAUUUGUAAAGACGUCUCCGAAUUAAUUAUAUAGCAGUUCAGUAAUUGACCAACUUAAUGUAAUAUUUCAGCUGGUAGAAAGCAGCAAUUCCAACUCAUCGAUACUUAUCACUGGACAUUCUUUUGGAGGCUGUGUGGCUACCCUUUUCACCUUAUGGCUGCUACAAAGCCUCAACUUGUCGAAAGCGAAGCGUCCCCUUUGCAUCACUUUCGGUUCACCCUUGACCGGUGACGAACAACUCCGACAAUGUGUGUUGCAAUUCUCAACAUGGAGUUCUUGCUUCUUGAAUGUAGCCUCUAUCAACGAUCCUGUACCUAAAGCCUUCCUAACCGCUUCGCAAGCGAGUGAUUACAAGCCUUUCGGAACAUUCCUAUUGUGCUCCGCUUCGGGUGGUUCUUGCUUUGAGGACCCAGAUGCCAUUUUGCAACUGUUGGUGGAAACCGGCUCUCAGAGUGCUCAAAUUCAAGGUCCGAAUUUGGGGUUUCAGUAUUUCGAUUACGGACAGAUUUUGAGUGAUCUCAAGCUGAAGGCAUUUUCUAGAGAUGUCUUUGAGUUGGUUGAAGAGGAUAGAGUUCCACUUAAAGCUGGAAUUAAAACACAAUUGGCAGCAAUAUUUGGAGUUAAUAGCUCACAGGUAUCCAACUUUCCACACAAAUAUUUGAUUUGAUGAUGAUUCAGAGAAUGGUUUCUGCACAAACCUGUUUAUUUUUGUCUCUUGAUUUUCUUUUACUUUAUUUAAUCCGAAGAUUGGAAAUAAACACAGGUGUGCGGGGGGCAAUCACAUCCCUUGUUUUUACUUCUACUAACUUUUUUCGCAAAUCAUUUUGUAAGUCAUUGCAGCAGCAGCAACCCGACAUAAAUUUCGGCAAUCUGAUGCAAAAGAUGGAAACUCAAGAACGUAACCACGCAAUCCAGAAGACGCAGGUUUACAGUUCUUUCUGGAAAUUGAAUGAGAUUAAAAAGUACAUGGCCUACAUGGAAGGGUACAAGAAGGAGUCCAAAGAGAUGGGAAUUGGAUACUAUGACAGGUACAGAAACAAGCGUUGCUUGGGUGACAUUAAUGCCGAAGAGUACAAGAAGAAGCUCUCUAAUUACUGGGAGGACACGGUUGCAGAAGUUGAGAGCAAUCCCCAGAAAGAAGGAGCCGCAAUGCGUACUCGUUUCCUAUUUGGUGGAACGAAUUACAGAAGGAUGAUCGAACCGCUUCACAUUGCAGAGUACUACAAGGAAGGUGGAAAAGAUUACAUAAAGGAAAGGCCUCGACAUUUCGUUCUGUUGGAGCAAUGGUUCAAUGAAGACGCGGAAAAGAAGAAGCCAGAGAGGGAGCAGAAAGAAAAGGAGAACCCCCAACUGCGUGGCGAAAGCAAGUCGAACUCAAAAGCGAAGAAUGUGGCUUCAAGUCUGAAUGAUGAUUCUUGUUUUUGGGUGCAUGUCGAGGAAGCGCAUAUCUUAUGCAAUGAACAAGCGAGUAAUCCAAAUGCCAAGCAAAUGCUGAUGGAAUUUGAGCAGUACGUGCUGAAUAAUCUCGAGAAGUUUGCAGUGACGCCUGAUAUUUUCUUGGCCCAAAGCAGCUACAUGCAAUGGUGGAACGAGUACGAAAAAAGGGUGGGACAUGAC
rnacentral:lncRNA from 1 species